UUGAGCGGAGCGCAGCCUAGCGGCGAACGGUCGCGUAACACGUAAGCAACCUGCCUCAAAGACCGGGACAACAUCUCGAAAGGGGUGCUAAUACCGGAUGUGGCCACUCCUUCGCAUGUUGGGGUGAUUAAACCGAGCAAUCGGCCUUGAGAGGGGCUUGCGGCCUAUCAGCUAGUUGGUGGGGUAACGGCCUACCAAGGCGACGACGGGUAGCUGGUCUGAGAGGACGAUCAGCCGGACUGGGACUGAGAUACGGCCCAGACUCCUACGGGGGGCAGCAAUUAGGAAUCUUGCACAAUGGGGGAAACCCUGAUGCAGCGACGCCGCGUGGAGGAGGAAGUCCUUCGGGAUGUAAACUCCUUUUAUCGGGGAAGAAAAAAACGACGGUACCCGA
rnacentral:rRNA from 1 species